GACGAACGCUGGCGGCAUGCUUAACACAUGCAAGUCGAACGAGAAAGCUUCUUCGGAGGUUAUUAAAGUGGCGCACGGGUGAGUAACGCGUAGACAAUCUGCCCUUCAGUCCGGGACAACUUUCCGAAAGGGGAGCUAAUACCGGAUAACAAUGUUUAACAUAAGUUGAAUAUUUGAAAGCUCCGGCGCUGAUGGAUGAGUCUGCGUCCCAUUAGCUUGUUGGUGCGGUAGAGGCGCACCAAGGCUACGAUGGGUAGCGGGUUUGAGAGGACGAUCCGCCACACUGGAACUGAGACACGGUCCAGACUCCUACGGGAGGCAGCAGUGGGGAAUAUUGCACAAUGGAGGCAACUCUGAUGCAGCAAUGCCGCGUGAGUGAAGAAGGCCCUUGGGUCGUAAAGCUCUUUUAUGGGGGAAGAUGAUGACGGUACCCCA
rnacentral:rRNA from 1 species